AGUGAGGAAUAUUGCACAAUGGAGGAAACUCUGAUGCAGCAACGCCGCGUGGAGGAUGACGCAUUUCGGUGUGUAAACUCCUUUUAUAUGUCAAGAAAAUGACGGUAGCAUAUGAAUAAGCACCGGCUAACUCCGUGCCAGCAGCCGCGGUAAUACGGAGGGUGCAAGCGUUACUCGGAAUCACUGGGCGUAAAGGACGCGUAGGCUGGUUGGUAAGUCAGAUGUGAAAUCCUACAGCUUAACUGUAGAACUGCAUUUGAAACUACCAACCUAGAGUAUGGGAGGGGGAGAUGGAAUUAGUGGUGUAGGGGUAAAAUCCGUAGAUAUCACUAGGAAUACCGAAAGCGAAGGCGAUCUCCUGGAACAUAACUGACGCUGAGGCGUGAAAGCGUGGGGAGCAAACGGGAUUAGAUACCCCGGUAGUCCACGCCCUAAACGAUGAACACUAGUCGUCGGGAUGCUUGUCAUCUCGGUGAUGCACUUAACAGAUUAAGUGUUCCGCCUGGGGAGUACGGUCGCAAGAUUAAAACUCAAAGGAAUAGACGGGGACCCGCACAAGUGGUGGAGCAUGUGGUUUAAUUCGAAGAUACGCGAAGAACCUUACCUAGCCUUGACAUUGAAGAAACACACUAGAGAUAGAGUGGUGCCUUUCGGGGAAUCUGAAAACAGGUGCUGCACGGCUGUCGUCAGCUCGUGUCGUGAGAUGUUGGGUUAAGUCCCGCAACGAGCGCAACCCUCGUCCUUAGUUGCCAGCAGGUUAAGCUGGGCACUCUAAGGAGACUGCCUUCGUAAGGAGGAGGAAGGUGAGGACGACGUCAAGUCAUCAUGGCCCUUAUGGCUAGGGCUACACACGUGCUACAAUGGGGCGUACAGAGUGUUGCGAUACCGCGAGGUGGAGCUAAUCACUUAAAGCGUCUCUCAGUUCGGAUUGGAGUCUGCAACUCGACUCCAUGAAGCUGGAAUCACUAGUAAUCGUAGAUCAGCAAUGCUACGGUGAAUACGU
rnacentral:rRNA from 1 species